GACUGUAGGGGAGCUGCCCUCAAGCUAGCCCUCACCCUGUCCUACCUGUGGACCAGUUAGGUUGGGCAUAUACAAAUGGAGUAGACAUAUGGCUCUCCCCCUAAGGAGACUGUUCCUCCAAACUUUCAGCCUGGGCCACAGUGGGCAUAGACACCUCCCCUGAGGAACUCUUGGCAUAUUUGCAAGCCCAGGCUGAUGAAAAGACUCCAUGGCUACUCUACUACGUUGAUCUUCCUGUCCCCAUACCUCUUCUCUCUAAUUUCAUAGAAUGGAAGGAGUGGUUAGAGGCAGACUCCCUGUCUAAGCAGCUACAUCAAGGCCUGGACCUUAAAGAGAGCCUGGCUGCACGGGUGAGGGAGGCCAUCCAGCGCCUAGAGACCCUGGAGUAGGCCAAGAGAGCCGCCCGGGGCUGGCACUGUCACCACCCACUGUCGCUGUGGCUCCUCCACCUGUCACCCUGAAGACAGCCUGCUGGACACAGGCUGCUGGACAUCAGCCGAAGCCCUAGCAGACAAAUUAAAUAUGAGAGGAAAGUUGGACCAUGUUUUGCUUUGACCAUUUAGGCAGACCUAUUUUUGUUGAAGUAAAUUGACUCUUGUUAUACUUUGGGAUUUCAAGACUGGUGUUGAUGUAUGUGAAAGGUGGGAUAUGACUUUGCAAAAAAGUGACAGUGCCCUUUUCGAUUGAACAUGUACUCCUUAAUAACAGGGUCCUGUGUGGCUUAGUUGGUAGAGCAUGGUGCUUGCGUUCGAUUCCCAUGGGGGACCAGUACAAAAAAAUGUAUGCACCCGCAACUCGUAAGUUGCUCUGUAUAAGAGCAUCUGCCCAAUGACUAAAAUGUGACUCACUUAUCUAGCAUUACAUUACAAUAGGGGUUGAGGUUGUGUCAUUUCUCUUAAAUCUGCAUUUACCAACUGGUUUCUCAUGAGCAGACACCGACCUCAUCAAUUGAGGACACUAUCGGAUAUGGCGUGAUCCGAAGUUGGAAUGUAGUUUUGGGACCCAUCUGUCCAUGGCGCUUGCUGUGAUGCCAUGUUCUGGACACUUCAUGAGUGGCCCAGUGUCACCUUUGCUCUGGUUGUGGCCUUACAAUCAUCAAGAUGAAUCAAAACCAGGUGACUGACCAAUAGGUUUCAUAAUUUGUAUGGGGCUUUAUAAGAUAUUUCUCCAUACAGUAUCAGUAGUAGACGAUACACAUCAGCAUAAUUAAUAUUGAAGAAUGAAUAUAACUUGCAACAAUGAUUGAGAUAGUAAUUUUUAUGUCAACCGCUGCCGCCUCUGCUGCAGUGCACUGUGGACAUGCAGUAGCUGUUUCACCAAGGCUUCAGUAGGUGAUCAUGCAGCUGUUGACUGCCCUGUACAGGAUUCACCAACCUCGACGAUGUUGUCCAUGGAGUGUAGCGUGGAGAAGAUUCACGCGCCGAAACUGACGAGAGCUCACUUUCCAUGAACGGGCAGAUACUUAGAUAUUUCAGAUAGGAAACUGCUUUUUCUGUGCAUCGGUAGUAAAUGGUAAUCGUGGGAAAUGUGGUAUAUUUUUGAACACCCAAAUAGUUUUUCAGCACCAAAAUAUAUAUUCCUUGACUUUACAUUUUUUUACAGUGAAGUUUUACAUCAACUAGCUAUGUUUUAUGCAGUUUAUUGAAUGGUUUGGAACAUGAAACCUGACCUGUACUAUUAGCGAUCACAAAUCUUUAUGUAUUAUAUAUUUUAUUGACAUGUAGGGCUGGUUUCCCGUGCACAGAUUAACGUUAGUCCAGAACUAAAAAGCUUUCUCAAUGGCGAUUCCCUAUUAAAAACUUUUAUAUUCCAGGA